rnacentral:rRNA from 1 species
UUUACGCGAAGACCUUACCUGGCCCUUGACAUGCUGAGUUCAGGCGUGGAAACACGCUGGCCCGCAAGGGCGAUCUGCACAGGUGCUGCAUGGCUGUCGUCAGCUCGUGUCGUGAGAUGUUGGGUUAAGUCCCGCAACGAGCGCAACCCUCGUGACUAGUUAAUCCCGGGCAACCGGAUUCUGGUCAGACUGCCCUGUGAAACGGGGAGGAAGGUGGGGACGACGUCAAGUCCGUAUGGCCCUUACGGCCAGGGCUGCACACGUACUACAAUGCUCACUACAGAGGGACGCAAGACCGCAAGGUGGAGCCAAUCCCUAAAAGGUGAGCCCAGUUCGGAUUGGAGGCUGCAACUCGCCUCCAUGAAGCCGGAAUCGCUAGUAAUGGCGCAUCAGCUACGGCGCCGUGAAUACGUUCCCGGGUCUUGUACACACCG